GGCUUUGAUGGUGCAGUUGUAGCACGUGCUUCCGGUAAAGUUGAAACGCUGGUUCAAUUCCCAGCUGAGGUUG